GGAAGUAUAGCUCAAGUGGUAGAGUGAAUGCUUAGCAUGCAUAAGACGCAUGCAUGAGGUCCUGGGUUCAAUCCCUAGUACCUCUU
rnacentral:tRNA from 1 species